GGGGAUGUGGCUCAGUGGUAGAGCACUUGCCCUGGGUUCCAACCCCAGUACUACCA
rnacentral:tRNA from 1 species